GCUCCCAUGAGCUAACUCCCAAGGCUAUUUCCUAGGGCCCGUUCUAUGAAGGAGCAGAUGAGAGGCUUGGCUGGUCACCACCUCCGGGUGACCUGGAAAACUGCUCCGAGGAGAGGAAGGUUCUGAGGUUCCAGUGGCUGGCCUGAGGCUCCUCAAGCUGAGGCCUGCUGCUGCCCUGUGAAGUACUUGGUGAACACCAGGUACUUUCUGACCUCGGUGGCUGCCCGAAGGUUCACCACCAGAACACGCUGGGAGCAGGGAGCUUUCCACCCGGAUCCUUCGGAUCCUUCGUGGCAGAGUUGCUCUAUCAUCCUGUCUCAACACAACCAUUUCCUUCUUCCGCAGGCCUUCCCCGCAGGCCUGAGGCCCUUAGGCGCGCGGCACAGAGGACCCAGCCUAGCCUCUCCGGCUGCAGCACACCAGCCCAGAAGGUCAGGAGGUUAUGCACUGAGGAUCUACAAGCUGCAUCUGGUCCACAGGUAUGUUUUUGUUUUUGUUUUUAAUUAAAACAACAUUUAAAAAUUGAGAGAUCAAAAAAAAAAUUGAGAGAUUAAGGGUACCUGGGUGGCUCAGUGGUUGAGCAUCUGCCUUUGGCUCAGGUUAUGAUCAUGAUCCCAGGGUCAUUGGAUGAGCCCAGUUAUCAGUGUCCCCACGGAGAGCCUGCUUCUCCUUCUGCCUAGUCUCUGCCUCUCUCUGUGUGUCUUUCAUGAAUAAGUAAAAUACUUUGAAAAUUGAGACAUUACACAUGAAAAUCUAGACUUGUGCCUUUUCUUGUAAACUCAUAAAAUCUGACAUCAUGGGACCCACUUUCUCCUCAAGGAGCAUGUUGGCCUGAAUGGAGAGCACAGUCCCUGCCCUAAUUUAGACAGAUUUUUUCUUAUGCCCUGGCCCACUGGCCUUAUUUCUCCUGUUUGAUCCCUGUAGGCUUUCAACUUUGUGAACCUUUGCCAAAGGGCAUUUCAGCAUGGGUUUCCACCUCCACUGCAUUCGGGCGAUCAGACUGGGUUCUAUGAAUUUGCUAGGUUCGCAAAGGGCACGCUAGGCCAAAGAUACAGCAACAAUAGUCACUUAAGCAUGCAAGCGGUGACCGUUCCUGGAAGGGCAAAGUGUCCGGAGGGACCGGGUCUCUGGUGUGAGGGGGCGGUGGAGCUGGAAAGGGUUAAACUGGGGCUCGGUUCUAAAGGGCCUUAACGCUUUCUUAGCGGGCACUGGGAGCCAGUGUGGGGUUUAAAACAGGG
rnacentral:lncRNA from 1 species